rnacentral:tRNA from 2 species
GGGCCCAUGGCUCAGUUGGUAGAGCACCUGACUUGCACUCAGGGGGUCGGGGAUUCAAAUUCCCCUGGGUCCA